AUUAAACGCUGGCGGCAUGCCUUACACAUGCAAGUCGAACGGUAACGCGGGGCAACCUGGCGACGAGUGGCGAACGGGUGAGUAAUAUAUCGGAACGUGCCCAAUAGUGGGGGAUAGCCCGGCGAAAGCCGGAUUAAUACCGCAUACGACCUGAGGGUGAAAGCGGGGGAUCGCAAGACCUCGCGCUAUUGGAGCGGCCGAUAUCAGAUUAGGUAGUUGGUGGGGUAAAGGCCUACCAAGCCUACGAUCUGUAGCUGGUCUGAGAGGACGACCAGCCACACUGGGACUGAGACACGGCCCAGACUCCUACGGGAGGCAGCAGUGGGGAAUUUUGGACAAUGGGCGCAAGCCUGAUCCAGCCAUGCCGCGUGCGGGAAGAAGGCC
rnacentral:rRNA from 1 species